CCAGCCCAGGGCAGCCUUGUCGGGUGCAACCCCGGCAGCGAAGACUCAAUGGGGUGGCGAUGGGGACCGGGGCUCUGGGAGAAGAUGCCUGGAGCAUCCAUCAAUCCUGAACAGCACCAGCCACGGGGUCAAGCUGGGAAAACCCUGCCCCGGUGCCCAGGCACCCUCGCCUCCUCGCCCUGGGAAUACGGCUGGGGCAGCAUCCCGCUGUCGGGGCUGCAGGGCACGAGGCUGAGCACGGAAAUCGGACAGGCAAGAGCCAGGGAAGAAGCAGGAGCAGCGGCACCUGGGCGAUGCACGCUGCCUGCAGGCACAGCCGUUCCCUGCCCACCGGCCGCCAUCUGACAGCGAAACCUGCCCGCCAGGGAAGCGUUAUCCAGGGGAGAGAGGUCGGAGCAGAUGCUGCGGAGCAGAGACCGGCUGGGAGCGAUGUGUCCCGGGAUUAGCACUAAGCCAUCUGGCACGCACUCGCAAACGCUGCCUCGCGGCCCCGGCCCAGCCACGGAGCCGUCUGGAAGCAGGUCGCAGCUGUGGACCAUCAUCAUCCCGACCGUGGAGCUGAGCCCAGGGGACCUGCAGAUCUCAGCAGCAUCAGCCGCUGGGCCGGGGUGGUCUCCUGGGGUAAAACGUCUCCAAGGUAAAAGGAAUUUGGGGAAGGGGUGAUAGGAGACAUGGGGCAGAUGCUCAUGGGGGAAGGAUGGGGUCUCUGGGGAGGAAGGUGAGGAGCUCUGCUUUGAAAGGUGGCAGAAACGCUGCAGCUGUGGGGAAGGUGCAAGUUUGAAGGUGGGAUGGGGGGUUAAAGACUGUGAGGAGACAGGAAGGGGCAACCAGAGGCGAGAAAACACCAUAUGCCCUGAUCCAGAGGAGCCGAGCCUUGCCCAGCACCGCCGUGUUAGCUGCAGGCUUCCUCCUUGCAGGCCAGCACCUCGCACAAGGUCUCUCCCCGGCAUCUCGGCCAAGCCGUGGCAGCCUCCGCGAGCCCGAGGAACGCGUCGCCUGGCUCAGGGACCCGCGGCCACUCACCUGGGGUAGCCUAGCUCGCCCGCAUGGCGCCAGGCUGGCUCGGCACCGCCCGCAGCCCCCGGCUUUGUCGGCGUCACGCUCUCGGCCUCGCUGUCCUCCGGGGACCGUCGCUCCCCCAGCGCCCACAGGACCACGUUUGCUGCACGGCAGCUGCCGGCUGCUGCCGCCCGAUGCAUAUUUGAUGACUGCUAUUAUUCUCGUCUCCACUCACAAGCGGAGAGACGGGAGCUAAUCGUCCCCGUGCAGAGCCAGGGAAUACCAGGGAUGGAGCGGCUGGAGGGGCGAGGGGCAGCCAGCUCUGGCCCGGUCCCUUC
ensembl:lncRNA